AGGGCACCACCAGGAGUGGAGCCUGCGGCUUAAUUUGACUCAACGCGGGAAAACUCACCCGGCCCGGACACUGGAAGGAUUGACAGAUUGAGAGCCCUUUCUUGAUUCAGUGGGUGGUGGUGCAUGGCCGUUCUUAGUUGGUGGAGCGAUUUGUCUGGUUAAUUCCGAUAACGAACGAGACUCUAGCCUACUAAAUAGAUCGUUGGCUUACAAACGCCAAUGAGACUUCUUAGAGGGACAGGCGGCGAUUCAGCCGCACGAAACARAGCAAUAACAGGUCUGUGAUGCCCUUAGAUGUCCGGGACUGCACGCGCGCUACACUGAAGGAAUCAGCGUGCUAAAACCAUUGUCGAAAGGCAUUGGUAAACCCAUUAAAAUCCUACGUGAUUGGGAUCGGGAAUUGCAAUUAUUUCCCUUGAACGAGGAAUUCCCAGUAAGUGUGGGUCAUAAGCUCGCGUUGAUUACGUCCCUGCCCUUUGUACACACCGCCCGUCGCUGCCCGGGACUGAGCCGUUUCGA
rnacentral:rRNA from 1 species